AGAGUUUGAUCCUGGCUCAGGAGAACGCUGGCGGCGUGCUUAACACAUGCAAGUCGAACGGUGAAGCUCCAGCUUGCUGGAGUGGAUCAGUGGCGAACGGGUGAGUAACACGUGAGCAACCUGCCCCAGACUCUGGAAUAAGCGCUGGAAACGGCGUCUAAUACUGGAUACGAGACCAACCUGCAUGGGUAUGGUCUGGAAAGUUUUCGGUUUGGGAUGGGCUCGCGGCCUAUCAGCUUGUUGGUGAGGUAAUGGCUCACCAAGGCGACGACGGGUAGCCGGCCUGAGAGGGCGACCGGCCACACUGGGACUGAGACACGGCCCAGACUCCUACGGGAGGCAGCAGUGGGGAAUAUUGCACAAUGGGCGAAAGCCUGAUGCAGCGACGCCGCGUGAGGGAUGACGGCCUUCGGGUUGUAAACCUCUUUCAGCAGGGAAGAAGCGAAAGUGACGGUACCUGCAGAAGAAGCACCGGACUAACUACGUG
rnacentral:rRNA from 1 species